AGAGCGAACGCUGGCGGCAGGCCUAACACAUGCAAGUCGAACGCGCCCUUCGGGGUGAGUGGCGGACGGGUGAGUAACACGUGGGAACGUGCCUUUUGGUUCGGAAUAACUCAGGGAAACUUGUGCUAAUACCGAAUGUGCCCUUCGGGGGAAAGAUUUAUCGCCAAAAGAGCGGCCCGCGUCUGAUUAGCUAGUUGGUGGGGUAAAGGCCCACCAAGGCUACGAUCAGUAGCUGGUCUGAGAGGAUGAUCAGCCACAUUGGGACUGAGACACGGCCCAAACUCCUACGGGAGGCAGCAGUGGGGAAUCUUGCGCAAUGGGCGAAAGCCUGACGCAGCCAUGCCGCGUGGAUGAUGAAGGUCUUAGGAUUGUAAAAUCCUUUCACCGGGGACGAUAAUGACGGUACCCGGAGAAGAACGCCCGGACUAACUUCGUGCCAGCAGCCGC
rnacentral:rRNA from 1 species